GGUUUGUCCACUGUGGCGCACCGUACUUGAAGAUUUCCUUGUGGAAGCCCUAGCUGUCAGUCAGCAGCAAGAGCAGAAGGAUGGAUAGCGAAGAGGCUCCCGCUCAGCGGCCAGUCACCUUGGACAUCACAGUGGAGGAUGUAAGUCAGGCUGCUCCAGACCCUCUGGAGCCCUCCUCCAGCCAGACCCCCUCCAGAGAUAAUGUUCUGUGCCAGGAAGACAGCAUCGACCUGGGUGGGGAGUUUGCCACUCCUCAGGAGGACAGCAGUGCUACACCCUCAGAGAGCCUGCUGGACAAGCUCAAUGACCAGAUGAUGGAGAGUGUCUUGAUUUCUGACUCGCCUAAUAACAGUGAGGAGAAUGAUGUGGCUCCAAUUGACUCUUUUCUAGAUGGAGAGGAGGAUGAGAGCACAGGAGAGACUUCAGGAGACCAGGAGGAACAUGGUGAAACUGGACAGAUUACAUCAGAUAUAAACGUUUCAGAGGAGACACAGGAGAAAGGCAGUUCUGAAGAGGAUGUAGAGGAGGUCACAACAAAGCAGAUAGACACACAAGAACAAGUCAGCAUUUGUCUUUCAACUGAAGGAGAUGCACAAAGUCCAUUUGAUCUCAAAAGUGAUGAAACCGCACCUCAGGCAGCCACAGCAAGUCCCCAAAAAGAUGAGCCUGUGCCAGUGUGCACCAUAUUCAGCCAAGGCACCCAGCCGAGGUCUCUGGUGCCUGACGGCUUCCAGCCCACCCUCAUCAAGUCCCCAAGCUUUAGUAUGGGGAGUGGUGGGGGAGGCGAUGAGGUAGUGACCCCCAGCAAGUUUACAGGUCCUCUCAUGUGUCAGCCAAGUCCCAGCCUCAGUAAGUUCUUCACUGACAAUGGACAGGCCAAUCCAGCUUCUGACUUCUUUGAUUCCUUUACUGUCCCCUCCUCCUUUAUCUCUGUUUCCAACCCCAAUGCAGAAAUUCCCCCUGGCACCAGCCCUGUACCCAUAGCCCCUACUCCUGAUCGCCAGCUCUCGUCCACAUCCUCAUCCAUUUCCUCUGCUGCAGGGCCUUUGGACUCAGGCAGUCCCAAACUUACUACAUUUUUUAUCUCUGCUUCUACUGAAACUACCACCGAGGCUCAACCACCCCCACCUCAAAUAGUCUCGGCUCCAGCUCAAGCCCCCACCUCACCCCCAGUCACUCGGCCACAGCCGUUCAACCAGCUCCAAGCUGUAUUUUCUGGCAACGAUGACCCGUUUGCAACAGCGCUGAGUCUGAGUGAGGUUGACAGGCGUCAUGAUGCCUGGCUGCCAUCAGAUGACACCAGGAAGGUGUUGAUCUCGGUAGCCACUCAGCAGUACAGCCCAUCCUACGUAGAGAGCAACAAACUCACUAUGCCUGGACUCAAGUUUGACAACCUGCAGGGGGAUGCUGUGAAAGACCUCAUGCUUCGUUUCCUCGGAGAGCAGGCAGCCACGAAGCGUCAAGUCCUCACCGCCAACUCUGUGGAGCAAUCGUUCGCGGGCCUCAAACAGCUCAUCACCAGUAAGAACUGGCGGGCUGCUGUAGAUCUGACAGGCCGAUUGUUGACAGCUCACGGUCAGGGAUACGGAAAAGCUGGCCAGGCAACCUCCCACACCACAGAUUCACUGCAGCUCUGGUUCGUGCGGCUGGCUCUUCUCACCAAGCUCAACCUCUUCCAGAAUGCUGAGCUGGAGUUUGAACCCUUUGGCGACCUGGAUCAUCCCGACCUCUUCUAUGAGUACUACCCUACUGUUUACCCUGGGAGGAGAGGCUCCAUGGUGCCGUUCUCCAUGCGACUGCUGCAUGCCGAGCUUCCCCAGUACCUGGCCAAACCCCAGGAGGCUCUGGACCGCCUGCACACUCUCAAAACCGUCUGCCUGGCUAUUCUGGAGAACCUGGAGAAAGGCUUGGCUGAGGACGGCACCAUGAUCACGCUCACACAGGAGAACAAGCAAGCGUCUCUUAAACUGUGGCAGUCUCGCGUCAGCCGGGUCAUGUUCUCCAUGGCCAACUGUCUGCUGCUCAUGAAGGACUAUGUGUUAGCUGUGGAUACCUAUCACUCCAUCAUCCAGUAUGAACCUCACCAGCGAGUUCAGCUGCUCAGUGGAAUAGGACGCAUCUUCUUGCAGAUUGGAGACGUGAAAACGGCAGAGAGGUACUUCCAGGACGUGGAGAAGAGCUGCCAGAUGAAAGAGAGCCAGUCCAGUCACAUCACAUGCAUGUUAAUGAACAGGGCCUUUGUCCACCUCAGUCAGAAUAACUACGCUGAAGCACACGCGUCGUUCGCUGAAGUCUUACAAAUUGACCCCAAAAACCCGGUUGCCAACAACAACGCAGCAGUGUGCCUGCUGUACCUGGGCCGUCUGAAGGAGUCCCUGGGCCAGCUGGAGGGCCUGGUGCAGCAGGACCCCGCGCUCUACCUCCACGAGAGCGUCCUCUUCAACCUGACCACCAUGUACGAGCUGGAGUCGUCUCGCAGCACGCAGAAGAAGCAGGCCCUGCUGGAGGCGGUGGCGUGCCGGGAGGGCGACAGCUUCAACACGCAGUGUCUCAAACUCGUCUAAGAGGCGCCAGGUUGGCGCUUCUGCCUUCUCCUCCUCCUCCUCCACCUCCACCGUGACAUGGAGUUAACCCCAACACCCACCACCACCACUACUACCAGCACCUGAAGCUCUCCAACUCACUAGUUAGCAGUCGUUUGUUCUCUCUGCACUAAAGCAAACGUGGACCGUUGUGUACCAGACCACAGCCUGACCAGGUCCAGUGAUGUCAUUGAAGUCACCGAGCCCGAAUGAGACACGAGAGACUGAGGGACUGUUACAACCUGCGAGAUGUCAGCGUCCAACUGCAAAACAGGGGAGAGAGGAGAGAGCAGCGGUCAUCAGUAAAUAAACUCCUCAUCUCGAGUCGUGGGGGAGAAACCCAGACAAUCCUCCCCCCUGGCCAUUUACACCAGCUCCUCUGGAAGAAGGAUCACAAGGUGUUACCAAGCCAGCUGAGAGAUGUGAUCUCUCCAGCGAGUCCUGGGUCUGCCCUGAGGUCUCCUCCCAGGUGGACGUGCCUGUGGAGGCAUCUGGAGAUGAAAACCCACCCAAACCCAUCUGUGAUCUAUUAGAUCGUAGAUGGACCAGUGAAUCGAGGCACUCCACUCUCUCUUCACCACAACAGACCAGACCCUAAGAUAUUUAAAGUCCUCCACCUGGGGCAGGGAAUCUCCCCCAACCUGGAGUGGACACUCUACCCUUUCCUGGCUGAGAACCAUGGCCUCGCACUUAGAGGUGUUGACUCUCAUCCCUGGCCGCUUCACAAUCAGACGUUGGAAGUCACGGCCAGGGUCACGGAGCCAGGAGACGAAACCCUAAGGCCACUGACCUCCUGAUCAGAAAUUCUGUCCAUGAAAGUUCUGGACAAAACUGCUGACAGAGUCUGACCUUUACCAAUGUUUAUUGUCAUUAUUUACAAAAGGAAAUCACUUAUUUAAAAGAGUCAAAACAUGCUCAAGCUCUGGUGAAGUUUGACUUUUUACUAAAGGUCAUGCACACAAACGUGCUGACCACGCCCCUCCAAACACAUAACGUAACACUGCGUCUCUUGGGUUUUGGGGUAACAUGGCGACAUGCUGCUUAAGUACGAAUAUAAACCAAAUGACUGUAGAGUUGGAGCAUUUCCGUUUAUGAAUGGACUUUGGACGCAUAUUGUUGAAAAUGACCGCAAUAAUGUCAUGAAUGUGACAGUGAAAAUAUCGCGGUCGCAGUUAUGUCACAGUCUCGGUACCUUUCUGUAAAACACUCCCAGUUUCCCCAGCUCUUCCAGAGACGCGGGCUGGUUUGGCUCCAUUCUGUGGUCUUUCCUCUGGUCUUCAUCAGAAGUGUCCAUGAACCACGCUUCCAAUCCCAUAAUAGAGCUGAUUAAAAUACAAAAACUUUCUGAAGGUUUUUUUCGUCUGUUGUUACUGUUGCUGGGUUCUUCUUCUUCUUCUUCCAGUUUAAAGGCGUUUGAUCACCAGCGUAAUAGCAGCAUUAGCGCCACCUUCUGUUCCAGAGUGUGCAUCAGAUACUGUAUUAUUAUGAUUGUUGCUCAGUCAUUUCUUCAAUAAAGUUAAAUCAACUAUGA